AUUGAACGCUGGCGGCAGGCCUAACACAUGCAAGUCGAGCGAGCGGCGGACGGGUGAGUAAUGUCUGGGAAACUGACUGAUGGAGGGGGAUAACUACUGGAAACGGUAGCUAAUACCGCAUACCAUCAGAGUUGCCCAGAUGGGAUUAGCUAGUAGGUGGGGUAACGGCUCACCUAGGCGACGAUCCCUAGAUGGUCUGAGAGGAUGACCAGCCUCACUGGAACUGAGACACGGUCCAGACCACUACGGGAGGCAGCAGUGGGGAAUAUUGCACAAUGGGCGCAAGCCUGAUGCAUCCAUGCCGCGUGUGUGAAGAAGGCCUUCGGGUUGUAAAGCACUUUCAGCGGGGAGGCGUUACCCGCAGAAGAAGUGACGGCUAAAUACGUGCCAGCAGCCGCGGUAAUAC
rnacentral:rRNA from 1 species